rnacentral:lncRNA from 1 species
GAUGGGAGAAAAUGUUUCAGGUUGGAAGAGUUGUCCCUUGGAGCCAGAUGGCACAUCAACCAAUAUUGGAAAACAUAAUCCACAAUGAUGAUGCAAGUAUGUACUGGUUGGUCCCUCUUUCCACUGCCAUGUUUCUUGAACUCAUCAAAG